AUCCUUUUGUAGUUCUUAAAUGUGAUGAUUGGGUGUUCACAUGCAUGUGUGAGAUAUGCCCCCUUGAAUCUUUUAUGACAUCAGUACAUUUCCCGUCUGACA